UGCCUGCUUUGUGAUUUUUUUAAUACUUUUAAGUUAGUUGUCUUUUAAAACAUGUGGUCAGCUGUUGUAUUCACAUAUGGUCAAAUGAUCAAAGUCUGAACUCCUCUCUAAUUGUCCCCUGCUGCUUGUCUGCUCUGUCCAUGAUCAAGGCCUCAGCAGGUGAUAAGAAAGGCAUGAGAACAGGCUGGAAGGAGAAUGAACUACUGAGGGGCCCAAGCUGAAAGAAAUAAAGACUUCCAGUACAUCACCCUGACAGUAAAGAACCAAGAAAAAGUGAAGUCUGGUAACCGAAGUCUAUGUGCCCAAGUGACUACAGCAGUCCCUUUCCUGGCAGAAGCUGGUCUUUCUGCGAGUCCAUGGAAAGUUCUUGAGCGGAGAGCUCUCCAUGCCUGCUGCUGCUAACAGGCUUUAACAUCUGCCCUCCAUCCCCUUCCUGUGAUCAUGCAACAUCAAACCAUGCAGGAAUAAGUCAGGGUUGAUCUUUCUGCCAUGCUAUGCUCUCCUUGAACAUUUGACUGAAAAGUAUUUGUUUGUAAAUGCUACCACUGCUUUUUGUUUUGUCUGUAGUGACUUUGGAGUUGCACCUUUUCUCUUAUGUUUAAGAGUUCCAGUUCAUGGUGAUAUUUAAGAAAGAACUCAGCCAAAACACAGAAGAAUUGAAGGCCAGUCAUCAGAGGGGAAGAAUAUAGCCUGACAAGUCUACAGAGUAAAUAAGAUUGUAGAGGUGUGUCACUUCAUUUCAAUUAAAUAUCUAUGCAUUCUCACCCACUUGUGUUCUGCAGCUUUGCUGGUGAGUAGAAGGAUUUCCUCAGUGAUGUUGUUUACUUUUUGUUCAUUCAUAUUUGAGCUUACAAAUUGCUUGAAAGCAACUUAACAUUUUGCAUAGAAAUUUCACACAGUUGAAGGUUUUUCUGUGCUGGAGAGAAUGUGAACAGAAUUUACAUUUGUUGAUUUUAAAGUCCUAGAGUGUGGAAGCC
rnacentral:lncRNA from 1 species